rfam:Bacillus sp. MTM 13 11, whole genome shotgun sequence.
UGGAGCCGUAUACAUCGAGAGGUGUACGUACGGUUCUGGGAGGAGUGUUUGGAAACCUGCUAUAGCAAUAUAGCAAGGCGCCGGGCGCUUACUUGAUUCUAU